rnacentral:rRNA from 1 species
CCCAGACUCCUACGGGAGGCAGCAGUGGGGGAUAUUGCACAAUGGGGGGAACCCUGAUGCAGCGACGCCGCGUGGGUGAAGGAGCGUUUCGGCGCGUAAAGCCCUAUCGGCAGGGAAGAAGGAGGACGGUACCUGACUAAGAAGCCCCGGCUAACUACGUGCCAGCAGCCGCGGUAAUACGUAGGGGGCAAGCGUUAUCCGGAUUUACUGGGUGUAAAGGGGGCGCAGACGGCAGCGCAAGCCAGGAGUGAAAGCCCGGGGUCCAACCCCGGGACUGCUCUUGGAACUGCGCGGCUGGAGUGCAGGAGGGGCAGGCGGAAUUCCUGGUGUAGCGGUGAAAUGCGUAGAUAUCAGGAGGAACACCGGUGGCGAAGGCGGCCUGCUGGACUGCGACUGACGUUGAGGCCCGAAAGCGUGGGGAGCAAACAGGAUUAGAUACCCCCGUA